GGGCCGCACGCGCGCUACACUGACGGAGCCAGCGAGUACUUAUCCUUGGCCGAGAGGUCUGGGUAAUCUUGUGAAACUCCGUCGUGCUGGGGAUAGAGCAUUGCAAUUAUUGCUCUUCAACGAGGAAUUCCUAGUAAGCGCAAGUCAUCAGCUUGCGUUGAUUACGUCCC
rnacentral:rRNA from 1 species